UGUCCAAUGCGGGAAUCGAACCCGGGUCGUAGUGGUCUAAAACCAAACUGUUUAACCAGCCUUCAACCGAC
rnacentral:tRNA from 1 species